AAGCAAGUUUGCAGCAGCGGGCUGGGAGGCAUCCACAGGUCACCCACUUGGUUUUUGUGGGUAAGAUUUGCCUUCAAGAAUUCCAGGUUCCAGAGAUCAGAGGGAAGCCUGGAGCAAAGAAGACAUACUGUUCAUGUAGAGGAUCAGGUAGGGAACAUUUACACCAGCUGGACACACACACAAGAUCAUGGGACCUAGUGGGAUGCACCCAUGGGUGCUGAGGGAGCUGCCGAUGUCAUUGUGAGGCCACUCUCAAUCAUCUCUGAAGGACCACAGCAAGUGGGGGAAGUUGCUGAGGGCUGGAAGAAUGCAAAUGCCUGGCCUGCCUUCAAGAAGGGCAAGAGGCAAGAUCUGGAGAGCUAUGUGCCAGUCAGCACAACCUUGACCCCUGGGAAGGUGAUGGAGCAGGUCAUUCUGGGAAUCAUCUCCAAAUGGGUGGAGGACAAGAAGGUGACUGGGAGCAAUGAGCAUGGAUUUAUGAAGAGAAGAUCAUGCCUGACCAACCUGGUAGCCUUCUUCAGUGAAAUGACAGGAUCAGGGGAUGAGGGGACAGCAGGGUAUUCUUUAUCUUAAAUUUAGCAAGGCUUUCAAUACUGUCUCCCAUAAUAUCCUCACAGACAAUUUGAUAAAGUACAGGCUGCAUGAAAGGACAGUGAUGAGGGGAUGGGACUAGACUAUCUCCAGAGGACCCCUCCAGCCUCAGCUAAUCUGCGGUUCUGAAAUGGAUGCAAGCUUUGGUAGCCCAUCUUAAGAGGAGUCAUCGUAUUUCCUUUUCAAUAGGCAUCUUAUAAAAUGUGUUCCAACCUUUCAGAGUGCCUCCAGGGUAGUUGGAGGAGUCGCCACAGAAGUCAGUAAAUUUUGCUUUGAGAUAAGACUUUCACCCUCCAUAGAAAUAAUGAUAACACCUGAAGUGAAAGAUAAGGAUGGAUAACACCUUCAGUUAACAGCAGAGCAGCCUUCUCCCCUGUCCAAGCCUAGCAGCUGCCUUCCAGGCAGCAGCACCUGGGGCUGUUAUCCCCUCUGACAAGCCACGGGGGUGUCUGCAUGACAGCACCCUCCAGCCAGCUCCCGUGGGAGCACACAGCUGCGAGUAGCCCCGCGCUUCUUGAUGAACGUGGGAACUGGGUCAGCCCUCAUGUCUGUCCACGUGCCGUGCAGCAGUCUAGGUGUGCUCAGACAGGAAGUGAAAAUGCAACAUCAACUCCCCUGCAAUCAUCAGUGAAGGUACGGAUCGUGUAACGGCAUCAGCUGGAAUUCAACCACAGUUAAAGAAAACAUAGCCACGCACUAGAAAAAAAAAUGCCGACGGAUUUCCAGUGACACCAGUAAGUAACGCUGGGAGCGUCAGACCAGCUGGAACGAGACACGGAGCGAAACAAGGGAGCAGGGGAUGGGCCCUCCUCUGGUGGGAGCGAGCUCUCUGCUGCCGGGGAGACGAGCCACACAGUCCUUGUGCUCCCUGUUGGAAUCACGGCUGGAACAUGCACUGGUAAGAAAAAUCCCCGGCCUGAGGGACUCUUUUAAAAGCCAGGAGAAACACAGUUGCUGAGAAGGAUUACCACCUCUUUGCUUUUAGCUUGGGCCCCCGGGACACGGGCUAAACAACUUGCCCAAGGUAAUGCAGGAGUCUGGAGGAAAGCCCAGCAACCCACAUCCAUAAUGCCGUAACCCUUUCCUUCCUGCUGGGACGUGCCUGCUGUGCAUCCUUCAGGCCAGGGAUGGCACCCCAGCCGCUGCAGCCAGCUGCUUGGUGAGCACCCUGCCCUGCAAGGUCAAUAGGCACAGGAAGGUGUACGAUGGAGGGAGUGGUAACGGGACUGAGCCACGUUUAUUUGGUUUUUGUAAUUAACACUCAUUUAUCUGGGAAAUUACUCUUGGGGUUUACAGUAUUCGGUAAAUGUGAGUUGUUGGGAAAAUGGGCAGUAAACUUAGCUGUAAUCCUCAAGAAAAAAAAAAUCUAAAGAACAGUUAGCAGCCUCUCCAUGGCAUUGCAGGAUACUGUAUCCACAGUGUUGCCAUCUUCUACUGUGCCAGACAAAUUUCUCCAUCGUUUCUCUUUCACUUCAGCUGGUGUAAUUUGGUGCAACGUAUAGAGGUCUGCAACGCUGUAGAGUCACAGCUGCCUGGAAAACUUGAAAAAAGAAAGGGCUAUAAAUUCUUUAAAGGAGGAAGAAUCCAUCUCUACCUUCAGAAGCGUAACUUACUGGUUCUCUCUGCGGGAGCCAUACUUCACUGCCCUUCAGCUCUCGCCAUGUCAGUCUCAGCCAAGCCCCCACAUCACUGGGGUGAGGGAUGCUGCUCUGGGCUUUCUCUGCAAAGAACUGAUGAAGCUUAAUCACAUAUUUCCAGAAGUGUCACCUCUUCUCUUAGCCUCUGGCAACCUGCCUGGCUUGACUGGCUUCUACAAAUCUCACUCAUAGGAUAAAUCAAACACCUCUACUCAGGAUCAAUUUUCCUUUUUAAAGAGAAUUAGCUGCUCUUCAGUGCCACUGAUAUAGUCACGGAACUUUUGCUGACAUUGUGGGCAGAGAUCUUAAGAAAAAUCACCCCAAAAGUCAUCACUGGAGAAAAGUGGAGAUGGAAAGGGAAUGUCUGACUGUAUGUGGGUUCUGCAUUACUUUAGAUGGUAUGACUUCGUUUGUUCUGAUCUUCCCCUGAACGAUGGUGGUAGGUGUUAUGUUUGGCAUCACAAGGCAGUUUAAUGCAAAAACAGUUGAAGGUAGUGGGUCACCAAUCCUUUGCCUUGCUUUACUUUGGAUAUGGACACUUGUCCUAUUUCUAAGUAAGUAGUUAGCAGCUUGCAAUGCUGAGGUUCUUUUUUAACUUGUAAAAAUAAAUAGUAUUUGUCAA